AUUCAGCUGACGAGUCUUGAAUAGGAUGAAAAGUAUGUCCUGAAU
rnacentral:hammerhead_ribozyme from 1 species